rnacentral:rRNA from 1 species
UACGUAGGGACCGAGCGUUGUCCGGAUUUAUUGGGCGUAAAGAGCGCGUAGGCGGCCUUCCACGUCGGGUGUGAAAGCUCGGGGCUCAACCCUGAGAGGCCAUUCGAUACGGGAAGGCUUGAGGCAGCUAGGGGAGAUUGGAAUUCCUGGUGUAGCGGUGAAAUGCGCAGAUAUCAGGAGGAACACCGGUGGCGAAGGCGGAUCUCUGGGGCUGUUCUGACGCUGAGGCGCGAAAGCUGGGGGAGCGAACAGG